GUCGAGCGCCUAUCUUCGGGUAGGAGCGGCGAACGGGUGAGUAACACGUAGGUCACGUACCCUAUGGUGGGGAAUACCCCGGGGAAACUCGGAUCAAUGCCCCAUAUGCCCGCAAGGGUGAAAGCGCUUCGGCGCGCCAGAGGAUCGGCCUGCGGCCCAUUAUUUAGUCCUAGUUGGUGAGGUAACGGCUCACCAAGGGUACGAUGGGUAGCUGGUCUGAGAGGACGAUCAGCCACACUGGAACUGAGACACGGUCCAGACUCCUACGGGAGGCAGCAGUGGGGAAUAUUGGACAAUGGGCGAAAGCCUGAUCCAGCCAUGCCGCGUGAGUGAUGAAGGCCUUCGGGUUGUAAAGCUCUGUCGUGGGGGAAGAAGUACUGACGGUACCCCACAAGAAAGCACCGGCUAACUCCGUGCCAGCAGCCGCGGUAAUACGGAGGGUGCAAGCGUUGCUCGGAUUUACUGGGCGUAAAGCGCACGCAGGCGGUCCGCAAGGUCGGGUGUG
rnacentral:rRNA from 1 species